GUCUGGGAGCAUGCGUCGGUGCUACGCUUUGUGACAUCCACAGCACCAUGGAACUGCGUUGGGUCCUGGAUGGCAACCACCCAGGAAGACAACUGGUCUAUUCCCACAACACU